CAGCCGCCACGGUAACACCAGCACCUCGAGUGGUCAGGAGGUUUAUUGGGCCUAAAGCAUCCGCAGCCGGUUGCAUAAGUUUUCGGUUAAAUCUAUGCGCUUAACGUAUAGGCCGCCGAAAAUACUGUGCAGCUAGGGAGUGGGAGAGGUACACGGUACUCGAUAGGAAAGGGUAAAAUCCUUUGAUCUAUUGAUGACCACCUGUGGCGAAGGCGGUGUACCAGAACACGUUCGACGGUGAGGGAUGAAAGCUGGGGGAGCAAACAGGAUUAGAUACCCCCGUAGUCCCUGUCUCUUAUAC
rnacentral:rRNA from 1 species